rnacentral:lncRNA from 1 species
AUUAAAAGCAAUUUUUAAAAAUAUUUCCAGCUUAAUUUCUGUGAAUAUCAGCUUUCUUCCCUGGGAAUCCUCACAGAUUACUUGUUUUAUUUUAUGUUUUGAGUCCUUGGUUCAGAGUUUAAAAACAGAAACAAACAACAACAAAACACAAAUAAAACCAAACUAACCAACCAAACAAACAAACCUUGAUGAGUCUAGGACAAAAUGACUGAGUUUAACCACUUGCCUUAGAUUUCCUUCAGCUGAUUUUGUUUCUCUUGGAGAUCUUCACUUUCCUUCAUUAAAAUCUUGGCACAGUGACUGCCUUGCUCUGGAAAAUGUACCUGGGAACUGACAGCAUUUCUUUUGCAGGUUUUUCAAAACACUUCUUGUGUGUGUGAACAGCUGCCAAACAUCUCACCAAGUGUUGCUGAGUAGCUUCUAACUUGGGUGAGCUCCCACAAAGGGUGAAGAGGACAAGGAGAAAAAAUGGUAACUGUGCAUUCACAGGUGUAAGCUGCAGAGCUGGGGCUGUGGAUUGGUUUCGGUGUCACAAGUGCUUCCAGGUAAUGCUGAGUCUCAGCAGCUUCAUGAGAGCUGGAUGUGAUGGGCUUGUGCUACUGCAAAGGGGAGAUGGAGUUUGCUCACCUUCACUUACGGAAAAAACCUUUCUGCCACAAGCUGCAGGUGACAGGGUUUGAAAUGAAAUAGAGAUGAAACAGUUGCAGGAUAUAAUUGGACAGGCUGAGUAGACUCGUGUUGUUAAGCCACUUUGUGUGUCCAGUAUGGCAGUCUGGCAGAAAUGUUGCUUGAUAUGUUUUCUGUUUACAUAACUAAUGCUUCUAGACUGUAUAAAUUUAGACUGUAUAAAUUCAGAUUUAGGUAUGGAUGUUUGUUCUUGGUAAAAAUACUUAUUAUGUAUCCCUAAGGCCUCAGUGUUCUGGCUUACAUGUAUGCAUACAUAAACUCUCUCUAUAUAUUUAGCUAAUGACAUGGGCUGAGAUAGCAUUGUCAUGCUGAUAUACUGUUCAGCUUUGCAUCACUUGUACUAACUUUUCUGCCUAGCUCAGCCCAGGCUGUGCAGUGCUCUUCUGUCUGGGAGAGGCUCCAGAGGG